rnacentral:rRNA from 1 species
AAGCCUACGGGAGGCAGCAGUGGGGAAUAUUGCACAAUGGGGGGAACCCUGAUGCAGCGACGCCGCGUGAGUGAAGAAGUAUUUCGGUAUGUAAAGUUCUAUCAGCAGGGAAGAAAAUGACGGUACCUGACUAAGAAGCCCCGGCUAACUACGUGCCAGCAGCCGCGGUAAUACGUAGGGGGCAAGCGUUAUCCGGAUUUACUGGGUGUAAAGGGAGCGUAGACGGCAGAGCAAGUCUGAAGUGAAAGCCCGCGGCC